rnacentral:rRNA from 1 species
GAUGAACGCUGGCGGCGUGCUUAACACAUGCAAGUCGAACGGAAAGGCCAGUGCUUGCACUGGUGCUCGAGUGGCGAACGGGUGAGUAACACGUGGGUGAUCUGCCCUGCACUUUGGGAUAAGCCUGGGAAACUGGGUCUAAUACCAGAUAGGACCAUGCUUUGGAUGGUGUGGUGGAAAGUUUUUUCGGUGUGGGAUGAGCUUGCGGCCUAUCAGCUUGUUGGUGGGGUAAUGGCCUACCAAGGCGUCGACGGGUAGCCGGCCUGAGAGGGUGUACGGCCACAUUGGGACUGAGAUACGGCCCAGACUCCUACGGGAGGCAGCAGUGGGGAAUAUUGCACAAUGGGCGCAAGCCUGAUGCAGCGACGCCGCGUGGGGGAUGACGGCCUUCGGGUUGUAAACUCCUUUCGCAACUGACGAAGCUUUUUGUGACGGUAGGUGGAGAAGAAGCACCGGCUAACUACGUG